rnacentral:tRNA from 1 species
GGGGCUGUAGUGUAGUUUGGUCAACACAAACUUUCAGUUUGCGAGAUUGUGUUUGAAACAAUUAUCACUCGUGGUUUGGGACCGCGCGACCGGGAUUCAAAUUCUCGCAGCCCCA